UACUAUCUGAAUGGAGUUGAUGCAUUUCGCCUGAAGCUGUUAUUCCCUCAACUAGAAUUACAUCCCUUUCUGCCUAUGGCAGCCAGCAUGGAAGAUAGCGAUGGGCAUAAUGAUCAUCUUCCAGCAGAAGAGUGUUCUGAACCAAAUAUUGGCUUGUAAUCUAUAUCUUGGAAAUGGAAGUUUUGACACUGUUGUUCUUUUAGCAGGG
rnacentral:misc_RNA from 1 species